GACGAACGCUGGCGGCGUGCUUAACACAUGCAAGUCGAACGGAAAGGCCCUGCUUUUGUGGGGUGCUCGAGUGGCGAACGGGUGAGUAACACGUGAGUAACCUGCCCUUGACUUUGGGAUAACUUCAGGAAACUGGGGCUAAUACCGGAUAGGAGCUCCUGCUGCAUGGUGGGGGUUGGAAAGUUUCGGCGGUUGGGGAUGGACUCGCGGCUUAUCAGCUUGUUGGUGGGGUAGUGGCUUACCAAGGCUUUGACGGGUAGCCGGCCUGAGAGGGUGACCGGCCACAUUGGGACUGAGAUACGGCCCAGACUGCUACGGGGGGCAGCAGUGGGGAAUAUUGCACAAUGGGCGGAAGCCUGAUGCAGCAACGCCGCGUGCGGGAAGACGGCCUUCGGGUUGUAAACCGCUUUCGCCUGUGACGAAGCGUGAGUGACGGUAAUGGGUAAAGAAGCACCGGCUAACUACGUG
rnacentral:rRNA from 1 species